AGUGAACGCUGGCGGUAGGCCUAACACAUGCAAGUCGAACGGCAGCACAGUAAGAGCUUGCUCUUACGGGUGGCGAGUGGCGGACGUGUGAGGAAUACAUCGGAAUCUACUUUUUCGUGGGGGUUAACGUAGGGAAACUUACGCUAGUACCGCAUACGACCUACGGGUGAAAGCAGGGGAUCUUCGGACCUUGCGCGAUUGAAUGAGCCGCUGUCGGAUUAGAUAGUUGGCGGGGUAAAGGCCCACCAAGGCGACGAUCCGUAGCUGGUCUGAGAGGAUGAUCAGCCACCCUGGAACGGGGCCACGGUCCAGACUCCUACGGUAGGCAGCAGUGGGGAAUAUUGGACAAUGGGCGCAAGCCUGACCCAGCCGUACCGCGUGGGUGAAGAAGGCCUUCGGGUUGUAAAGCCCUUUUGUUGGGAAAGAAACGCAGCAGGUUAAUACCCCGCUGUUCUGACGGUACCCAAAGAAUAAGCACCGGCUAACUUCGUG
rnacentral:rRNA from 1 species